rnacentral:rRNA from 1 species
UGGGGAAUCUUGCGCAAUGGCCGAAAGGCUGACGCAGCGACGCCGCGUGUGGGAUGACGGUCUUCGGAUUGUAAACCACUGUCGGGAGGGACGAAGUUCUGACGGUACCUCCAAAGGAAGCACCGGCUAACUCUGUGCCAGCAGCCGCGGUAAUACAGAGGGUGCGAGCGUUGUCCGGAAUCACUGGGCGUAAGGGCGCGUAGGCGGCCUGGUAAGUCGGGGGUGAAACGCUGCGGCUCAACCGCAGCACUGCCUUCGAGACUGUCAGGCUGGAGCACGGUAGAGGCUGGUGGAAUUCCCGGUGUAGCGGUGGAAUGCGUAGAGAUCGGGAAGAACAUCGGUGGCGAAGGCGGCCAGCUGGGCCGUUGCUGACGCUGAGGCGCGACAGCGUGGGGAGCAAACA